AACGAACGCUGGCGGCAUGCCUAACACAUGCAAGUCGAACGAGAUCUUCGGGUCUAGUGGCGCACGGGUGCGUAACGCGUGGGAAUCUGCCCUUUGGUUCGGAAUAACAGCUGGAAACGACUGCUAAUACCGGAUGAUGACGAAAGUCCAAAGAUUUAUCGCCAGAGGAUGAGCCCGCGUAGGAUUAGCUAGUUGGUGUGGUAAAGGCGCACCAAGGCGACGAUCCUUAGCUGGUCUGAGAGGAUGAUCAGCCACACUGGGACUGAGACACGGCCCAGACUCCUACGGGAGGCAGCAGAGGGGAAUAUUGAACAAUGGGCGAAAGCCUGAUCCAGCAAUGCCGCGUGAGUGAUGAAGGCCUUAGGGUUGUAAAGCUCUUUUACCCGGGAUGAUAAUGACAGUACCGGGAGAAUAAGCUCCGGCUAACUCCGUGCCAGCCGCCGCAGUAA
rnacentral:rRNA from 1 species